GACGAACGCUGGCGGCGUGCCUAAUACAUGCAAGUCGAACGAACCGCGACUAAGUGCUUGCACUAAGUCAAGGUGAGUGGCGAACGGGUGAGUAACACGUGGGUAACCUACCUCAUAGUGGGGGAUAACAGUCGGAAACGACUGCUAAUACCGCAUAGGACAUAGGAUCACAUGAUCCAGUGAGGAAAGGUGGCGCAAGCUAUCGCUAAGAGAUGGACCCGCGGUGCAUUAGCUAGUUGGUAGGGUAAAGGCCUACCAAGGCGAUGAUGCAUAGCCGACCUGAGAGGGUGAUCGGCCACAUUGGGACUGAGACACGGCCCAAACUCCUACGGGAGGCAGCAGUAGGGAAUCUUCCGCAAUGGACGCAAGUCAGACGGAGCAACGCCGCGUGAGUGAAGAAGGUCUUCGGAUCGUAAAGCUCUGUUGUUAGAGAAGAACAGCGCAUAGAGUAACUGCUAUGCGUGUGACGGUAUCUAACCAGAAAGCCACGGCUAACUACGUG
rnacentral:rRNA from 1 species